GACCUUGUGGCGCAAUGGCAGUGUGUCUGACUCCAGAUCAGAAGGCUGUGUGUUCAAAUCACACCAGGGUCA
rfam:Alligator mississippiensis ScZkoYb_19, whole genome shotgun sequence.